ACUCAAAGGAAUAGACGGGGGCCCGCACAAGCAGUGGAUUAUGUGGUUUAAUUCGAAGCAACGCGAAGAACCUUACCAGGUCUUGACAUCUCCUGCAUACCGUAGAGAUACGGGAAGCCCUUCGGGGCAGGAAGACAGGUGGUGCAUGGUUGUCGUCAGCUCGUGUCGUGAGAUGUUGGGUUAAGUCCCGCAACGAGCGCAACCCUUACUAUUAGUUGCUACGCAAGAGCACUCUAAUGGGACUGCCGUUGACAAAACGGAGGAAGGUGGGGAUGACGUCAAAUCAUCAUGCCCCUUAUGACCUGGGCUACACACGUAAUACAAUGGCGUCAAAACAGAGGGAAGCAAGUCCGUGAGGGCAAGCGAAUCCCGAAAAGACGUCUCAGUUCGGAUUGCAGGCUGCAACCCGCCUGCAUGAAGUCGGAAUUGCUAGUAAUCGCGGAUCAGCACGCCGCGGUGAAUACGUUCCCGGGCCUUGCACACACCGCCCGU
rnacentral:rRNA from 1 species